GAAUAGAGAGUGAGCGACAGAGAGAGAGAGAGAGAGAGAGAGAGAAAAUGGGAGAGAGAAGCAGAAGCGAGUUUGCAAGCUUGCACAAUGCCCAUGAACUUGUUAAGUUCAGCUUCCCUAAGCCAACCAAUGGCACUGAUCUCUGCCUCAACAUGAGACUAAUUGAUGAAACCCACAUCAAAUGUGGCAUGAAUGUUUACAAUUUUACUAGAAUAUCUCCCUGAUGUUGCUGCUGCUGGAGAUUUAAUUAAGCUUACUCAAGUUAAGGCUAGAAGAUGAACUUUAUUCUCCACUUCCUCUACAACAGGAACUUUUGCCUUUGCCAAGAGAGUUAUUAUGUACUUUUCCUAAUGUUGGAACCAUCUUGAGGAUAACUAACCAUGUCAUAGUCCUGCAUCUACUUGGAAACGUAUUUCGACAAACUUGACCCAUUUCCCAAUGUUCAGGACAUGGAGCUGAGUUUCAACAUUAGUAAAUGGGUCAAGUUUGUCAAUAUGUGUUUUUUAAAGACACUUUCAUCGUCGAACAACAAAGGUAGUUGCUAAUUUGAUGGAUCUGUAUGGUUUGGAUAUAUUAUGUCAUUGAACUGAAACUUUUGCAUAUGCUUUCUAUUUAUGUUACUUGAAUAUGAUAAAGAUAAUAUUUGAUAUGUAAUUCAUUGAUAAACUUGUACAGUAUAUAUAGAUGUAAAAAGAUAUCAAAAUUAUAUCUAUCUAAAUCAAAAGAUACUAAUCUAUAAUAGAAAACUAUAUUUGAACCAUAUCUCUAUUUCUAAACUAUAUCUUAAUACUAAUAUUCAACAAUGUUGAGCCAAGCUGUAUGAAGAUCAGUUGUACAUAGGUAGAAUGCCUUCAUCAUGCAGCUUGCCUAAUUCUCCACGCAUUACAGGUAUUUCAUUUGUGUUGCACUACGAAUCAAGUCUUUGAUUUUUAUCAGUUUUGAUUCACUAGUUUUGGUUUUUCUUAUUGGAUGCCAAAUAUACUUUAUCCAACAGAGGUUAAUCACGAAAGUGUGAGGCAUGCAACUUUAAUGGGUAUUCUCACACAUUCAAAGGUGACAGCAAAAUACAAGUGCAUGGGUUGAGUGGUAGCAGCUAUGCCAUGCCAAGCUGAAAUGCUCCGCUCUCCUGACAGGAUAUACAGACUGCAACUGACCCUAGGGGAUCCAACAGCUAGGAUUCAUGUAUACGUAUAUUGUGAGAAUGGGGAGACUGUUUUUGGUUGUUAUCCGAGCGUGGAUGUGUUGACGAGGAAGCUGAAUAGGUUACUUGGAGUUAGUAUCAUCACCUUCAGUUACUCCAAGUAAUCUAUUGGAGGAUCACCUUCAGUUACUCCAAGUAAUCUAUUGGAGGAUGUUUAGAAUGUUUAGGAAAUUUUCGCCAAAAUAGCAGAAGCCUGAAGUAUUGCAAGUUAGACAUCACUUUCUCUAGAUUACUUGGAGUAGCCGAAGGUGAUGAUACUAUGGGAGUAUUAUCACCUUCAGCUAGUCCAAGUAAUCUAUUGGAGGAUGUUUAGAAUGUCUAGGAUAUUUGAUGCCAAAAUAGCAGAAGCCUCAAGUAUUGCAAGUUAGACAUCACUUUCUCUUAAUUGAAAGACUUCAUAUACUUUCAGCCAAGGAUACAUAUGGAAACCAUUUUUGGCUUAUUUCCAUAUGGUAUUGAAUGUAGGUGAUGGGUUCUGAAGUUGUUAACUAUGUGAAUGAAUGAAUGUUCGAGUAAUUUUUCUGAUUA